rnacentral:rRNA from 1 species
GAUGAACGCUGGCGGCGUGCCUAAUACAUGCAAGUCGAGCGAACGGACGAGAAGCUUGCUUUUCUGAUGUUAGCGGCGGACGGGUGAGUAACACGUGGAUAACCUACCUAUAAGACUGGGAUAACUUCGGGAAACCGGAGCUAAUACCGGAUAAUAUUUUGAACCGCAUGGUUCAAAAGUGAAAGACGGUCUUGCUGUCACUUAUAGAUGGAUCCGCGCUGCAUUAGCUAGUUGGUAAGGUAACGGCUUACCAAGGCAACGAUGCAUAGCCGACCUGAGAGGGGGAGAGGAGACAAGGGAAGGGAGACACGGUCAAGAUGCCAAGGGGAGGCAGAAGAAGGGAAUGUGCAGAAAGGGGCGAAAGAUUGACGGAGCAAAGGAGAGUGAGGGAUAAAGGUUUUAGGAGUGGAAAAACAUGUUAUGAGGGAAGAACAAAAGUGUAAGUAAAUAUGCACGGUUCGACGGUAAGGAAUAAGAAAGCGACGGCUAACUAAGUG